rnacentral:rRNA from 1 species
GACGAACGCUGGCGGCGUGCUUAACACAUGCAAGUCGAACGGAAAGGCCUCAGCUUGCUGGGGUACUCGAGUGGCGAACGGGUGAGUAACACGUGGGUGAUCUGCCUUGCACUCUGGGAUAAGCUUGGGAAACUGGGUCUAAUACCGGAUAUGAACUGCCUUUAGUGUGGGGGUUGGAAAGUUUUUUCGGUGCAAGAUGAGCUCGCGGCCUAUCAGCUUGUUGGUGGGGUAAUGGCCUACCAAGGCGUCGACGGGUAGCCGGCCUGAGAGGGUGUACGGCCACAUUGGGACUGAGAUACGGCCCAGACUCCUACGGGAGGCAGCAGUGGGGAAUAUUGCACCAUGGGCGGAAGCCUGAUGCAGCGAAGCCGCGUGGGGGAUGACGGCCUUCGGGUUGUAAAAUCCUUUCGACAGGGACGAAGCUUUUUGUGACGGUACCUGUAGAAGAAGCACCGGCUAACUACGUG